rnacentral:rRNA from 1 species
AGUGAACGCUGGCGGUAGGCCUAACACAUGCAAGUCGAACGGCAGCACAGUAAGAGCUUGCUCUUACGGGUGGCGAGUGGCGGACGGGUGAGGAAUACAUCGGAAUCUACUUUUUCGUGGGGGAUAACGUAGGGAAACUUACGCUAAUACCGCAUACGACCUACGGGUGGAAGCAGGGGAUCUUCGGACCUUGCGCGAUUGAAUGAGCCGAUGUCGGAUUAGCUAGUUGGCGGGGUAAAGGCCCACCAAGGCGACGAUCCGUAGCUGGUCUGAGAGGAUGAUCAGCCACACUGGAACUGAGACACGGUCCAGACUCCUACGGGAGGCAGCAGUGGGGAAUAUUGGACAAUGGGCGCAAGCCUGAUCCAGCCAUACCGCGUGGGUGAAGAAGGCCUUCGGGUCGUAAAGCCCUUUUGUUGGGAAAGAAAAGCAGCAGGUUAAUACCCCGCUGUUCUGACGGUACCCAAAGAAUAAGCACCGGCUAACUUCGUG